rnacentral:rRNA from 1 species
CCUACGGGUGGCAGCAGUGGGGAAUAUUGCGCAAUGGGCGAAAGCCUGACGCAGCGACGCCGCGUGAGGGAUGAAGGUCUUCGGAUCGUAAACCUCUGUCAGCAGGGAAGAACGGUCACUGUGCUAAUCAGCAGUGAAUUGACGGUACCUGAGGAAUAAGCCACGGCUAACUACGUGCCAGCAGCCGCGGUAAUACGUAGGUGGCAAGCGUUAUCCGGAUUUACUGGGUGUAAAGGGCGUGUAGGCGGGGACGCAAGUCAGAUGUGAAAACCACGGGCUCAACCUGUGGCCUGCAUUUGAAACUGUGUUUCUUGAGUACUGGAGAGGCAGACGGAAUUCCUAGUGUAGCGGUGAAAUGCGUAGAUAUUAGGAGGAACACCAGUGGCGAAGGCGGUCUGCUGGACAGCAACUGACGCUGAGGCGCGAAAGCGUGGGGAGCAAACAGGAUUAGAUACCCCUGUAGUC